AACGAACGCUGGCGGCAGGCCUAACACAUGCAAGUCGAACGCUGUAGCAAUACAGAGUGGCAGACGGGUGAGUAACGCGUGGGAACCUUCCCAGUGGUACGGAAUAGCUCAGGGAAACUUGAGGUAAUACCGUAUAAGCCCCUUGGGGGAAAGAUUUAUCGCCAUUGGAUGGGCCCGCGUCGGAUUAGCUAGUUGGUGAGGUAAUGGCUCACCAAGGCGACGAUCCGUAGCUGGUUUGAGAGAAUGACCAGACACACUGGGACUGAGACACGGCCCAGACUCCUACGGGAGGCAGCAGUGGGGAAUAUUGGACAAUGGGCGCAAGCCUGAUCCAGCCAUGCCGCGUGAGUGACGAAGGCCCUAGGGUUGUAAAGCUCUUUUAGCAGGGACGAUAAUGACGGUACCUGCAGAAUAAGCUCCGGCUAACUUCGUGCCAGCAGCCGCUGUAA
rnacentral:rRNA from 1 species